UACGUAGGCAGCAAGCGUUGUUCGGAAUUACUGGGCGUAAAGAGUGUGUAGGCGGUGUUCUAAGUUUGUCGUGAAAUCUCCCGGCUUAACUGGGAGGGUGCGGCGAAAACUGGAAUGCUAGAGGAUGGGAGAGGUAAGCGGAAUUCCUGGUGUAGCGGUGAAAUGCGUAGAUAUCAAGCGGAACACCAGUGGCGAAGGCGAGUCCCUGGACAACUCCUGACACUGAGGCACGAAAGCUAGGGGAGCAAACAGG
rnacentral:rRNA from 1 species